GAUGGUGAUGAGUUAGUUCGGAGGAACCCAGAUCGUGGUGCUCGCCAUAGACAACGACAAUGUAUCCUAAGUCCCCAUGAGCAGCACAUGAGGAGAAAUGAAUAGUUGAUAUGCCACCGGACCACGCUGGUUACAUGCUCCAGAAAGACGAGAAUACGUUGAAGAAGUAAAUUGUAUAUGUAUUAAUAGUUACUGUAAACGUUGUUGUAAUUAUUUUAUUGUAUAACAGAACAAUUUAAUUAAACUAGAAUUGACAUAUGA